CUCAGUUGCCAGCACAUAAUGGUGGGCGACUCUGUGGAGGACUGCCCGGGUUAACCGGGAGGAAGGUGGGGAUGACGUCAAGUCAUCAUGGCCCUUACGCCUAGGGCUACACACGUACUACAAUGGUGGGUACAAAGGGCAGCGAAACCGCGAGGUCGAGCGAAUCUCAAAAAACCCAUCAUAGUCCGGAUUGCAGUCUGCAACUCGACUGCAUGAAGUUGGAAUCGCUAGUAAUCCCGGAUCAGCAUGCCGGGGUGAAUACGUUCCCGGGCCUU
rnacentral:rRNA from 1 species